GUAAAUAUAGUUUAAGAAAAACAUUAGAUUGUGAAUCUAAUAAUAGAAGCCAUUAUCUUCUUAUUUACC
rnacentral:tRNA from 2 species